GAGAGCACACCUGAGACACAAGGACAAAUUAAAGCCAGUGAAUAAAACUAAAGGUCACUUUAAAGGAGUAUAAAGCUACAGUGGACAUAACGUGGCAUAGGUGAUCUUGACACCACAGAACUGUGAAGCCUGCAAUCCUACAAUAUAGAGGGGUAUGAGGAAGACAUCUCAGGAUACUGAAGAGUGUUGCAGAGGACCCACAAAUAGUCCUGAGCAUGAGAUGGUGGACAACAAACCCAUUUUUGGUGUGGGUAAAAUCAUUAGCGACAUCUUUUUCUUUUUUUUUUUUUCAGCAGUUUGAAGAUGUGUCAUUCCAUUUAUUUUUUCAUAAUUUCUGUUAAAAAGACUGCAGCUGCCCUUACUGUUGUACCUUUGAAGGUGUUGCAGCAAGAGCGCUGGCCUGCCAUGAUCUGCUACAUUCUACCUGGAAAUACAAGUCAGAAGUCAGCCUGUCAUAUUUUUUCAAAAGGUGACUUGUCAAAAUGAGACUUCUUUCAUAAAAUCAGUCUGGUUGGGCAUGGUGGCUCACGCCUGUAAUCCUAGCACUUUGGGAGGCUGAAGUAGGUGGAUGGCUUGAGCCCAGGAGUUUGAGACCAGCCUGGGCAACAUGGCAAAAUCCCAUCUCUACAAAAAAUACAAAAAUUAGCCGGGCAUAGUGUCACACACCUGUGGUCCCAGCUACUCAGGAGACUGAGAUGGGAGGAUCACCUGAGCCCGGGAGGUUAAGGCUGCAGUGAGCCAGGAUUGGGCCACUGCACUACAGCAUGGGUGACAGAGUGAAAUGCUGUCUCAAAAAACAACAACAAAAAAUCUCUCAAUCUGUCCAAAUAGUUAGAUUGUCUUCAGUAAUCUUUCCAUCGCGAUCUUGCUUUGUUUCUACUACUACUCUGAUGCUACAUAAUUAAGGUCACCAAUCGUUGUCACUGUCUUUCCAAACCUGUUGUUCCUUACUUCCUCCGGCCAUUCUUCCUUGUCCCCCUCCCAUUCAUCAUCCAGACACACACACACACACACACACACACACACACACACACACACACAUACAUUUUAACAAUACCAAACUCCUUGUAGUUCCCCUAAAUGAAUCAUGUUGUUUCCCUUACCUGAAAUGCCCAAUCCCUUUUUUAUUUUCAUUGCUAACUCCUCUCAUCUUUCCAGAGUGUUCACGUCUACCAGGAGUGUUCUUGUCCCUCCCAUUCCUUUCUACUCUAGCUCCACUCACAGUUCUGUGUAAUCCCAUCUUGUGGACUAACCCGUGUUAAAAAGAUUUGUUUGCUGAUUUGAUUCUUCCCUCCACUACACCCCCCCAUAACACAAAAUGAGUCCCUUAAAAGCAGAAAUGUUGCCUCACUGGUCUCCAGCACCCAGUGGAGUAUUUGGUAUGAAUGUCGGUCGAACUGUACUCUCUCCAGUGUGCAUUUUGUUCCAGGAAGACUAGGUAAUAGCAGGAGCAUUAGAAGCCUCAUCUUCAGGGCUGUUUGACAUUGAUUUUUUAAAAAAUACAUUUCCUGAGGUCUCACUAGUGCCAGAAUAUGAAAAAAAUAAUCAUUCUUCUCUGACUAAAGUGGAAUCACCAGUGAUUUAUUCUCUCCUUAAUCAGUAAUACUAGCUAACAUUUAUAUAGCCCUCACUAGGUCCCAAGCACUUUGAACAUAUCAUCUUAUUUCAUGUCUAUAACCACCUUCAGGUAGGCACUGUUGUUACCCUCCAAUUUACAAAGGAGGAAACUGAAGUGCAGGGAGGUUAAGUAAGUGGCAAGCUAGAAUCUGGAUACAGGUUGUCUGGUUCCAGGGACCAGGCAGUUAGCCAUUAUGCUAUGCGGCAUGAUUUCUUGCUUUCCUUGCCCUUUUUUCUUAAAUGUUUAAUUACAUAAGUAGCAUAUCAAUACAUUUAAAUUGUCAAAAAUUCAGAAACAAAGCAAAAACUCACUACUAUUUGAUGGGUAUCUUUCAAGAUCUUUUUCUUUGUUUACAUACAUAUAUACAUUAUGUGUGUGUACAUAUACACAAAGAAAUAUGUAUUUUUAUGUAACUGGAUUAUGCCUUAUUUUUCUAUAGAUUUGUUUUCAUUUAACAAUUUGUCUUAAAGGUCUUUUCAUAUCGAUGCAUAUUGAUCUAUUUUAUUCUUUGAAUGUUGCAUAGUAUGGAUAUAUUCCAUAGAAUGGGUGUAAUAUAGUUUAGGUAACCAUUUUUCUUUUGCGAGUCAUUUAUGUUGUUUCUGAUUUCACUGUUACAAACCAGGCUGCACUGAGUAUCCUUGAACAUGUCUCUUCACAUUCAUGCAACUAUACGUCUAGGAAAGAUCCUCA
rnacentral:lncRNA from 1 species